rnacentral:rRNA from 1 species
GUUUGAUCCUGGCUCAGGAUUAACGCUGGCGGCGUGCCUAAUACAUGCAAGUCGAACGGAAACCUUCGGGUUUUAGUGGCGAACGGGUGAGUAACACGUAAGCAACCUACCCUAAAGACGAGGAUAACCAUUGGAAACAGUGGCUAAGACUGGAUAGGAAGAAAUAAGGCAUCUUUUUUCUUUUAAAAGACCUAGUGAUAGGUAUACUUUAGGAGGGGCUUGCGCCAUAUUAGUUAGUUGGUAGGGUAAUGGCCUACCAAGACGAUGAUGUGUAGCUGGACUGAGAGGUUGAACAGCCACAUUGGGACUGAGACACGGCCCAAACUCCUACGGGAGGCAGCAGUAGGGAAUUUUCGGCAAUGGAGGAAACUCUGACCGAGCAACGCCGCGCGAACGACGAAGUACUUUGGUAUGUAAAGUUCUUUUAUCAAGGAAGAAAAGCAAGUGGUGAACCAUUUGUUUGCCGGUACUUGAUGAAUAAGCCCCGGCUAAUUAUGUGCCAGCAGCCGCGGUAAGACAUAAGGGGCAAGUGUUAUCCGGAAUUAUUGGGCGUAAAGGGUGCGUAGGCGGUCUAGUAAGUCAGUGGUGUAAUGGCAACGCUCAACGUUGUCCGGCUAUUGAAACUGCUAAACUUGAGUUAGAUAGAGGCGAGUGGAAUUCCAUGUGUAGCGGUAAAAUGCGUAAAUAUAUGGAGGAACACCAGAGGCGUAGGCGGCUCGCUGGGUCUUAACUGACGCUGAGGCACGAAAGCGUGGGGAGCAAACAGGAUUAGAUACCCUGGUAGUCCACGCCGUAAACGAUGAGUACUAAGUGUCGGGUUAAACCGGUACUGAAGUUAACACAUUAAGUACUCCGCCUGAGUAGUACGUACGCAAGUAUGAAACUUAAAGGAAUUGACGGGACUCCGCACAAGCGGUGGAUCAUGUUGUUUAAUUCGAAGAUACCCGAAAAACCUUACCAGGUCUUGACAUGUUUUUGCGAAACGGUAGUAAUAUCGUGGAGGUUAUCAGAAACACAGGUGGUGCAUGGUUGUCGUCAGCUCGUGUCGUGAGAUGUUAGGUUAAGUCCUAAAACGAGCGAAACCCUUAUCGUUAGUUGCCAGCACGUUAUGGUGGGGACUUUAACGAGACUGCCAGUGAUAAAUUGGAGGAAGGUGAGGAUCACGUCAAAUCAGCAUGCCCCUUAUGACCUGGGCUACAAACGUGAUACAAUGGCUGUUACAAAGGGUAGCUGAAACGCAAGUUCUUGGCCAAUCCCCAAAAACAGUCUCAGUCCGGAUUGAAGUCUGCAACUCGACUUCAUGAAGUUGGAAUCGCUAGUAAUCGCGAAUCAGCAUGUCGCGGUGAAUACGUUCUCGGGGUUUGUACACACCGCCCGUCAAACCACGAAAGUUGGCAAUACCCCAAAACGGUAGCCUAACUCGUUUAUCGAGAGGGCGCUGUCUAAGGUAGGGUCGAUGAUUGGGGUUAAGUCGUAACAAGGUAUCCCUACCGGAAGGUGGGGAUGGAUCACCUCCUUUCU